rnacentral:rRNA from 1 species
GUUGUAUGGUUAAGUGACUAAGCGUACACGGUGGAUGCCUUGGCAGUCAGAGGCGAUGAAAGACGUAGUAACUUGCGAUAAGCCCAGAUUAGGUAGUAACAACCAUUUGAGUCUGGGAUUUCUGAAUGGGGAAACCCACKURCAUAAGYAMGUAUCCUUACCUGAAUACAUAGGGUAAGGAGGCGAACCGGGGGAACUGAAACAUCUAAGUACCCCGAGGAAAAGAAAUCAACCGAGAUUCCGAAAGUAGCGGCGAGCGAAAUUGGACUAGCCCUUAAGCUUUACACGCGUUAGACGAACGGUCUGGAAAGUCCGACGAUACAGGGUGAUAGUCCCGUAGUUGACGACGUGUGUUCAGUGAAAUCGAGUAGGGCGGGACACGUGAUAUCCUGUCUGAAUA